rnacentral:tRNA from 1 species
GGACCCGUAGCUCAGCCAGGACAGAGCGCCGGCCUUCUAACCGGCGAAGAAAGCCGAGGGUCCCGGGUUCGAAUCCCGGCGGGUCCG